GCCUGUUUUUAACGCCACAUCCGAAUAGCUGUGCAUUUUCCAAGCGACUCCGACGUACUCUGACGUCAGAACAGGCGUACAAUACUUUUGUGUUUCAAGAACCGCCGGAAAUACGCGGCCGAUUUGGUAAAGUUUUAAACACGAUUAUUUUAAAACAUUUAAAACGCAUGCCAUAUUUGGAUCGCCGAUUUCAGAAAUCCCCCGAGCAGAUACGGGAUGAUUGAGAUAAUCGGUAAAAAACACAUUGGUACCGCGUUCCGCUCGGACUACACAAAUUAAACGCGAUCAUGUUUUUUCGAUGUUACGGACGUUACUGAAAUUAAACGAUUCAUUUCAGGCAUACGCGUAAUUUUAUGAUUUCCUUUACCCAUAAUAUUUGUUUCCCCAUAAAUCAGCAGUAGCAAAAUUGUUUCGCUUACCAUAAAGUCACGCGUUUUACAUUUUUGUUUUAAAAUUGGAAAAAAAAACAUAUUUUUGAUCGUUACAUCCCUGGUAUCGAUUUUGGAGAUAGAAAUAAUCGCAUUAUUCAGAGUCGCUCGAAAAAAAAAUAUACGCGACUGUUUGGACCUGGUGCUAAAAAUAGGUGUUAUCGUUUAAAAAAACGCACGUUUUAACGCGAAUGGCGCUCGUCGCUUGCAAGGGUUAACAUUUUGAAAAUCGGUUCGACACGUGUGUUUUAGUACCAAGAUAUUCCUAAAAAAAAGAAAAAAAAGAAAAAAAAGAAUUUAAAUUCAAUCCGAGUGCAUCGGGCUGAAAUAUUUCGCUUUAAAUUUCGAGUGAAACGCGUUUUCAUAACGCAUAAAAUAUUACACUCGGUUUUCAGACCGAAUAUGAUACCGGAGUGCUCGCGAAUGUGUUUGGUCUCCGAACGAAAUAUUUCCGCAUUAACACA